AACGAACGCUGGCGGCAUGCCUAACACAUGCAAGUCGAACGAGACCUUCGGGUCUAGUGGCGCACGGGUGCGUAACGCGUGGGAACCUGCCCUUAGGUUCGGAAUAACUCCCCGAAAGGGGUGCUAAUACCGGAUAAUGUCUUCGGACCAAAGAUUUAUCGCCUUUGGAUGGGCCCGCGUUGGAUUAGCUAGUUGGUAGGGUAAAAGCCUACCAAGGCGACGAUCCAUAGCUGGUCUGAGAGGAUGAUCAGCCACACUGGGACUGAGACACGGCCCAGACUCCUACGGGAGGCAGCAGUGGGGAAUAUUGGACGAUGGGCGAAAGCCUGAUCCAGCAAUGCCGCGUGAGUGAUGAAGGCGUUAGGGUUGUAAAGCUCUUUUACCCGGGAUGAUAAUGACAGUACCGGGAGAAUAAGCACCGGCUAACUCCGUG
rnacentral:rRNA from 1 species